UGUCUCAAAGAUUAAGCCAUGCAUGUCUUUUUAUAAGCAACUUUGUACUGUGAAACUGCGAAUGGCUCAUUAAAUCAGUUAUAGUUUAUUUGAUGGUUUUUGCUACAUGGAUAACUGUGGUAAUUCUAGAGCUAAUACAUGCAUUCAAGCCCCGACUUCUGGAAGGGGUGUAUUUAUUAGAUAAAAAUCAACUUUGUUGGUGAAUCAUAAUAACUUCUCGGACCGCAUGGCCUCGUGCUGGCGGUGCUUCAUUCAAAUAUCUGCCCUAUCAACUGUCGAUGGUAGGAUAGAGGCCUACCAUGGUUGCAACGGGUAACGGGGAAUAAGGGUUCGAUUCCGGAGAGGGAGCCUGAGAAACGGCUACCACAUCCAAGGAAGGCAGCGGGCGCGCAAAUUACCCAAUCCCAACACGGGGAGGUAGUGACAAUAUGUAACAAUAUACGGCCUUAUACGUCGUAUAAUUGGAAUGAGUACAAUUUUAAAUCCCUUAACAAGGAACAAUUGGAGGGCAAGUCUGGUGCCAGCAGCCAA
rnacentral:rRNA from 1 species